rnacentral:tRNA from 1 species
GUCCUUGUAGUGUAGUGGUUAUCACAUCUGUCUAACACACAGAAGGUCCCUGGUUCGAGC